rnacentral:rRNA from 1 species
AAAGCCUGAUGGAGCACGCCGCGUGAGUGAAGAACGUCUUCGGAUCGUAAAGCUCUGUUGCACGGGACGAAAACUGGGUUUGAAAACAUUGAACCUGGGUGACGGUACCGAGCGAGGAAGCCACGGCUAACUACGUGCCAGCAGCCGCGGUAAUACGUAGGUGGCGAGCGUUGUCCGGAAUUAUUGGGCGUAAAGGGAGCGCAGGCGGACAUAUAAGUCCAUCUUAAAAGUGCGGGGCUCAACCCCGUGAGGGGAUGGAAACUGUAUGCCUUGAGUGCAGGAGAGGAAAGCGGAAUUCCCAGUGUAGCGGUGAAAUGCGUAGAUAUUGGGAGGAACACCAGUGGCGAAGGCGGCUUUCUGGACUGUAACUGACGCUGAGGCUCGAAAGCCAGGGGAGCGAACGGGAUUAGAUACCCCGGUAGUCCUGGCCGUAAACGAUGAAUGCUAGGUGUAGGAGGUAUCGACCCCUCCUGUGCCGGAGUUAACGCAAUAAGCAUUCCGCCUGGGGAGUACGGUCGCAAGACUGAAACUCAAAGGAAUUGACGGGGGCCCGCACAAGCGGUGGAGUAUGU